rnacentral:rRNA from 1 species
ACGGAAGGCAGCAGUGGGGGAUAUUGCGCAAUGGGGGCAACCCUGACGCAGCAACGCCGCGUGAAGGAUGAAGGUUUUCGGAUUGUAAACUUCUUUUAUUUAGGACGAACGAUGACGGUACUAAAUGAAUAAGCUACGGCUAACUACGUGCCAGCAGACGCGGUAAUACGUAGGGAGCAAGCGUUAUCCGGAUUUACUGGGUGUAAAGGGUGCGCAGGCGGCUUGGUAAGUCAGAUGUGAAAUGUAUGGGCUCAACCCAUGACCUGCAUCUGAAACUAUUAAGCUUGAGUGAAGUAGAGGUAGGCGGAAUUCCCUGUGUAGCGGUGAAAUGCGUAGAGAUAGGGAGGAACACCAGUGGCGAAGGCGGCCUACUGGGCUUUAACUGACGCUGAGGCACGAAAGCGUGGGUAGCAAACAGGAUUAGAUACCCUGGUA